ACGAUACUCCAGCGGGUGUCCAAUCCAAAGUGCAGAGUUCAUGGUUGCAGGAUGCACAGAUAGGUGAAAAUUGACAGUUAAGUUUUUCAGAAGUUCCUAGCUGUUAAUCAUCAGGUCAAUUUUCUCCGCAGGUGGUUUGGAGUUUUUAGUCUCCGUCUCAGUGCAAGGAUGGCCGAAGGGUCUCAGAGAACCGAAGAAUUGCCAGAGGACGUCAUGUCUGAUGAUUGCAUGAGUUCUUACACUCACGUCUACAGUCCAGACCUUUUGAAAGAUCAGGUUGCUUUUAUCACCGGAGGUGGCUCUGGCAUUGGAUUCCGAAUAGCUGAAGUCUUCAUGAGGCAUGGGUGUGAUGUAGUGAUUGCUAGCCGAAAUCUACAACGUCUAACUGAGGCCGCAGAGAAAUUAACUAAAGCAACUGGUCGGAGAUGUCUCCCUUUGGCAAUAGAUGUUAGGCAGCCGGAGACCAUUAACACAGCCAUAGAUCGAACUUUGGAGGAGCUGGGUCGUAUCGACAUACUCAUCAACAAUGCUGCCGGUAACUUCCUAUGUCCUGCCUCCUCUUUGUCAUUCAACGCCUUCAAGACAGUAUUGGAGAUCGACACCAUGGGCACUUUCAAUGCCAGCAAAGUGGUCUAUGAGAAGUGGUUUAAGGAUCAUGGAGGUUCUAUUGUAAACAUUUCUGCCACUCUUGGAUACAAGGGUCAGGCUCUCCAGGUGCAUGCUGGGUCAGCAAAAGCAGCCAAUGAUGCCAUGACCAAGCACCUGGCUGUGGAGUGGGGCCCCAGUGGCGUGCGCGUGAACACUGUGGCACCAGGACCUAUCUCAGGCACCGAGGGCUACCGCAGACUGGGUGGUCCUCAUGCUGAGAAUGCUGGUGCUUUCAGCAGCAUCCCCCUGCAGCGUGCAGGGAACAAGACAGAGAUGGCCCACGCAGUACUCUUCCUCUCCAGCAGGGCGGCGUCCUACAUCACAGGCAGCGUAUUGGUGGCUGAUGGCGGAGCGUGGCUGACGUCGCCCAAUGAUGUACACCGUCUGCUGGGUAUACUCUCCUCUCGCUCUGCUAAACUCUGACAGACGACACUCAGCUACAUGAGGAGAUGGCGGACAUAACUGGAGUGAACAGGAAUGCAUACAACAGUGAUUCUGGUCCUCUGAAAUGAAGAGAGAUAGGAAGUAAUGCCUUCCAUCAUCCUCAGAAGAACAAGAUGAACAACUGUCUCACACACAGCAGCAUUCCAUCAUAUCAACUAGUAAUCAUGCUAAUGUUUGUUGUACCUUGUCUUCCAAAGGUAUAUGCACAUCUAGGGACUGACAAGCUACAAGUUGCCCUUGGACUAUAUGGCGCUUUUUGUUCAUCAUUUGCUAGCUUGUGUGUCUUCUCUUUCACAUAUUCAAAUUUUCAAUGUUUCUUGAAAAAAUGUUUUUUUGUUAAACCAUGAAACACUAAACAAAUCUAAUUUCUUA